rnacentral:misc_RNA from 1 species
AAGUCGUAACAAGGUCUCCGUAGGUGAACCUGCGGAGGGAUCAUUUAUGAGAUAUGGGGACCCCGUAUGUGGGGGUACCUGAAACGAGGAUACGAGUGGGGAGGAGCGCGUGGGUGGAGUGGGUAGAGCCGAGUGCGGGCUGUUUGUCGCGAGACGGAGGGCCCGCAGCCGCCUGCCCGGCCGCCCGGAGUGCAGUAACGCAUGUGUCGCUGGAUGCAGGGCCAUUUCCCGUAGGCAUCGAAGGCUUCCGAGCGUGGCAACGCGCGACGAGCAUACAUGAGAAAAUACAACUUAUGGCAAUGGAUCUCUUGGUUCUC